UACGUAGGGUGCGAGCGUUGUCCGGAAUUACUGGGCGUAAAGAGCUCGUAGGUGGUUUGUCGCGUCGUCUGUGAAAUUCCGGGGCUUAACUCCGGGCGUGCAGGCGAUACGGGCAUAACUUGAGUACUGUAGGGGAGACUGGAAUUCCUGGUGUAGCGGUGAAAUGCGCAGAUAUCAGGAGGAACACCGGUGGCGAAGGCGGGUCUCUGGGCAGUAACUGACGCUGAGGAGCGAAAGCAUGGGUAGCGAACAGGAUUAGAUACCCGCGUA
rnacentral:rRNA from 1 species